rnacentral:rRNA from 1 species
CACGGGGAGGUAGUGACGAAAAAUAACGAUACGGGACUCAUCCGAGGCCCCGUAAUCGGAAUGAGUACACUCUAAAUCCUUUUCCAAGGAUCAAUUGGAGGGCAAGUCUGGUGCCAGCCGCCGCGGUAAUUCCAGCUCCAAUAGCGUAUAUUAAAGUUGUUGCGGUUAAAAAGCUCGUAGUCGGAUUUGUGUCCCGCGCCGCUGGUUCAUCGCUCGCGGUGUUCAACUGGCGUGUCCGCGGGACGUCCUGUCGGUGGGUAUCGGAUGGUCGCUUGCGGUCGUUCGUGUCCCAAUUCGCAUCCGCUUUGCGCGGUUGCGGAUCCUAUCGCGGUGCUCUUUAUUGAGUGUCUAGGUGGGUCGGCACAUUUACUUUGAACAAAUUAGAGUGCUUAAAGCAGGCCAAUUUUGCCUGAAUAUUCUGUGCAUGGAAUAAUGGAAUAGGACCUCGGUUCUAUUUUGCUGGUUUUCUGAACCCCGAGGUAAUGAUUAAUAGGGACGGAUGGGGGCAUUCGUAUUGCGACGUUAGAGGUGAAAUUCUUGGAUCGUCGCAAGACGGACUAAAGCGAAAGCAUUUGCCAAAAACGUUUUCAUUGAUCAAGAACGAAAGUUAGAGGUUCGAAGGCGAUCAGAUACCGCCCUAGUUCUAACCAUAAACGAUGCCAGCUAGCGAUCCGCCGACGUUCCUCCGAUGACUCGGCGGGCAGCUUCCGGGAAACCAAAGCUUUUGGGUUCCGGGGGAAGUAUGGUUGCAAAGCUGAAACUUAAAGGAAUUGACGGAAGGGCACCACCAGGAGUGGAGCCUGCGGCUUAAUUUGACUCAACACGGGGAACUUUAUCAGGUCC